rnacentral:rRNA from 1 species
AACGAACGCUGGCGGCAGGCCUAACACAUGCAAGUCGAGCGGACCUUUCGGGGUCAGCGGCGGACGGGUGAGUAACGCGUGGGAAUAUGCCCUUCUCUACGGAAUAGUCCUGGGAAACUGGGGGUAAUACCGUAUACGCCCUUUGGGGGAAAGAUUUAUCGGGGAAGGAUUAGCCCGCGUUGGAUUAGGUAGUUGGUGGGGUAAUGGCCUACCAAGCCGACGAUCCAUAGCUGGUUUGAGAGGAUGAUCAGCCACACUGGGACUGAGACACGGCCCAGACUCCUACGGGAGGCAGCAGUGGGGAAUCUUGGACAAUGGGGGCAACCCUGAUCUAGCCAUGCCGCGUGAGUGAUGAAGGCCUUAGGGUUGUAAAGCUCUUUCAGCUGGGAAGAUAAUGACGGUACCAGCAGAAGAAGCCCCGGCUAACUCCGUG